rnacentral:rRNA from 1 species
UACGGAGGGUGCGAGCGUUGUCCGGAAUCACUGGGCGUAAAGGGCGCGUAGGUGGCCCGUUAAGUGGCUGGUGAAAUCCCGGGGCGUCAACUCCGGGGCUGCCGGUCAGACUGGCGGGCUCGAGCACGGUAGAGGCAGAUGGAAUUCCCGGUGUAGCGGUGGAAUGCGUAGAUAUCGGGAAGAAUACCAGUGGCGAAGGCGUUCUGCUGGGCCGUUGCUGACACUGAGGCGCGACAGC